UCUGCUCCUAGGUUAAAGAUGCUAUGGGAAGAGACAAGUCUGGAAACUGGAAAGUGAAGUCCAGUUGUCCACACCACUUCCGGUUUAACCUUUCUGCUUAAGUGAAUCAAAAGAUAUGCAGAUUACUCGAGCUAUAUAAAUCCAUUCCAAGAUAUAAAAGAUCUUUAGGAAAGGUACCAGGUGAAUCAUAUUUCAUGAUCAUAACUUAAAGAUUAGCGCAUGCAGUUGGCUAAUUUUAAGAUUAUCUGAUAGGAGUUUGGAGCGACAUGCUAUGAAUAGACUUAUUGAAAGAGCAUAAAGAAAACUCAAGGUCACCAGAGUAUUGAACAUGAAUGCAAAUCGGAAAGGCAUUUUGAGUACAUUUUUAGCAGUUGGGAGCACAUAUUGAGUACAUUUUAUAAUUUUUAUUCACAUAGUGAGGCAAUGAAAAUUGUAGGCAAAUUAAUAGGUAACUUUGUAGGUCUGAUGUUGCAUGAUGUUUAUACGCUCUUUUAUUUCCAUGAAGGAUUGAUGCUGAACCUUAUGAAUCGCCUGACAAUUUUUCUGUUGCCUGGUAUUUUUUUUGUUCUAAGAUGCUUGAUAUUUGCCUAAA